GACGAACGCUGGCGGCGUGCUUAACACAUGCAAGUCGAACGGAAAGGCCCUGCUUUUGUGGGGUGCUCGAGUGGCGAACGGGUGAGUAACACGAGAGUAACCUGCCCUUGACUUUGGGAUAACUUCAGGAAACUGGGGCUAAUACCGGAUAGGAGCUCCUGCUGCAUGGUGGGGGUUGGAAAGUUUCGGCGGUUGGGGAUGGACUCGCGGCUUAUCAGCUUGUUGGUGGGGUAGUGGCUUACCAAGGCUUUGACGGGUGGCCGGCCUGAGAGGGUGACCGGCCACAUUGGGACUGAGAUACGGCCCAGACUCCUACGGGACGCAGCAGUGGGGAAUAUUGCACAAUGGGCGGAAGCCUGAUGCAGCAACGCCGCGUGCGGGAUGACGGCCUUCGGGUUGUAAACCGCUUUCGCCUGUGACGAAGCGUGAGUGACGGUAAUGGGUAAAGAAGCACCGGCUAACUACGUG
rnacentral:rRNA from 1 species